CGGCCGGAACCGGAACGCGCGCCCGCAGGGUAGGAGACCUGGAGCUUCAGAACCCGCCCGCCAGAGUCGUAGUAAUGGAUGGGGAGUAGCCUUCCCAUUUUCAACACAUAUCUCAUUCUAAAUUGACGUUCUGGUGAGCUGGCCGAAGAAGGAGAAAGACCCGCGGCUGCGACCUCUGACCUCUAACCCCGGACGCACUUUGAUUUCGCCGGCUUGCGCUGAAGGCUGACUCCCUGGGCCGCAGCCUGGCGGGGGAGCCGCCUGUGGGGUGUCCCCGGCGCGGGAGGGUGCUCUGGUUCAGGCAGGUUCCCGUUGCAGCGGGGUUCCCCCGGUUGGGAGGAAUGCCCCUGCCGAGGGGAUGCUCCGGCUGGAGGGGGUGUCCCUAACGGCGGGGAUGCCUGGACUGGCGGGGGUGUCCCACUGGGGAGGGUUUCCCGGUGGGGAGGUGCCUGGCGGGGGAGCGGCUCCGGCUAAGCAUGGGUGUUCUGCUAGGAGGAUGUGUCUGGCUGGGGGCGGUGUCCCAACCGGGAGGGUUGCCCUGAUGGGGGAGGUUCCGCAGUUGUGGAGAUGCCAACUUGGGGGGUGCUCCGGUUGGGGGGUGUGCCCUCUCUGGUUACCCCGCUCUCCGCUACCACUCAUAUGCCUGCUGCCCAGAUAUGCACAAGCCAAGGCCUUUUCUGCAGACCAAGUAGCCUUCCCUGGAGAGCGCCCCCAGCACCACGGAAACUAUCUAUAUGCCCCGCGGUGGCCAGCCCGCCUUAUCCCAGCCCCGAGACCCAAAACAAGAAGCAUGGACUGAAUUUGAGGUUUCUGGAUGGUCGCGUGAACCGAGGGGACGGGUACUGGACUGACAAGAAAUGAGCCUUGAAGGUCAAUCUGGGUGACACCCGAGUCUCCUGGUGAGUCGGGACUCCGGAGAAUUAUCUCAAGUCCAGCAUAGACAGCGCACAUAGACAGAAAAGGAAAGAGACAAUCCCAAGUGCCAAGGGAACCUUCCCAGGUUUCUUUAGGGCAGCUAAACUGCUCUGUCAAAGCCUAAGUCCAUUUAUGACAGGCCGAGCACCCUGAGCCCUCGCAGGAGACACGAGCGCCUUCAUGGCCCUCCUGCCCCACACUCACCUGCUGCUGUCUGUCCCUUCCCUGAAACCUUUAUUUCAAGUGUCUUUGUGGCUUGCCUCUUUACUAUCCUUGAGUUUAAAUAUCACCUCUUAAGGGAAGCCUUCCCUCUCCUCCCUAGUUAAAAUGAUACUGCCCCCCCAUACCUGUCUUGGUUGACUGACUUUGCUCCAUCACAGUGUGUGUCAUCUGACUCCCACAUCCUGAUUUGGAAUAUUGUCUACCUACUAGAAUGUAAGUCCAUGGUGCCUAGAACAAUAUCUGGUGUACAGGAGACAAAAUAUUUGUUGACUGGGCCGGGCGCGGUGGCUCGCGCCUCCUCCCAAAGUACUGAGAUUACAGGUGGGAGCCACCGUGCCCGGCCUGGUCCUGUGCAUUUUAUAGAUAAGGUAACUGACAAACCUAGCCACAGUCACCCCUUCACCCUACAGGAGAAGUGGAAUUUGAACCCAGAGCCUUCUUCACCACCACCUCCAUUGUUUCUGGAAGCACCCUCCAGGCAGGCCAGCCAGCAUCACAGGGCCUCCCUUGGGGCUGGAACGUCUGCAGGAUGCCCCUUUGAGAAAUGCUGCUCCACAGAACCCUGCCUUUCAGGCCUUGGAGACGUGGGCAGGGGAGAAGCAGCGUCCCUCAGAGCCAGGCCUGGCAGUGGUGCCAGCAGGGGCCAAGGCCCAGGGAGCAGGGUCUCCUGUCAGAGGGACCUGGGCAAGCCCCUCCAUGUGCCAGCUGGUUUCUCAGCAGGGGAGGUCCACACCAUGCCGCCUGGGAACCUGGGUGCCUAAACGCAACAGGAGCCGAGGCACAAAUUUAACCAAACACCAAAGUUGCGUGAGGCCCCAGUUCGUGAGCCGGGCUCCAAGGACAUGUCCUUAGGCAGCUCUGGAAGGCCCAGCGCCAGCCCCCGUCCUCUGUUAAAGGGAACCAGCCCCGCGGCUCCGCCCCAGGCAUGGUAGCCUGAGCGCACCCUCAGGGUAGUAGGGGCACCUGAGGAGCAGGGUCUGCCCUGGCAUGAGCAGAGCCCAGGAUGGGGUCAGGGUCAGGCCCUGCCGGAGGCUGGAGGGUGCCCAAGGCGAGGCCGGUGAGG
rnacentral:antisense_RNA from 1 species